GUCUGACGGAGCACGCCGCGUGAGCGAUGAAGGCCUUCGGGUCGUAAAGCUCUGUUGUUAGGGAAGAACAAGUAUCGGAGUAACUGCCGGUACCUUGACGGUACCUAACCAGAAAGCCACGGCUAACUACGUGCCAGCAGCCGCGGUAAUACGUAGGUGGCAAGCGUUGUCCGGAAUUAUUGGGCGUAAAGCGCGCGCAGGUGGUUCUUUAAGUCUGAUGUGAAAGCCCACGGCUCAACCGUGGAGGGUCAUUGGAAACUGGGGAACUUGAGUGCAGAAGAGGAAAGUGGAAUUCCACGUGUAGCGGUGAAAUGCGUAGAGAUGUGGAGGAACACCAGUGGCGAAGGCGACUUUCUGGUCUGUAACUGACACUGAGGCGCGAAAGCGUGGGGAGCGAACAGGAUUAGAUACCCUGGUAGUCCACGCCGUAAACGAUGAGUGCUAAGUGUUAGAGGGUUUCCGCCCUUUAGUGCUGCAGCUAACGCAUUAAGCACUCCGCCUGGGGAGUACGGCCGCAAGGCUGAAACUCAAAG
rnacentral:rRNA from 1 species